AGCGAACGCUGGCGGCAGGCUUAACACAUGCAAGUCGAACGGUCCUUCGGGAUAGUGGCGGACGGGUGAGUAACACGUGGGAACGUACCCUAGGUUCGGAACAACACAGGGAAACUUGUGCUAAUACCGGAUAAGCCCUUCGGGGGAAAGAUUUAUCGCCUUUGGAGCGGCCCGCGUCUGAUUAGCUUGUUGGUGAGGUAAUGGCUCACCAAGGCUACGAUCAGUAGCUGGUCUGAGAGGAUGGCCAGCCACACUGGGACUGAGACACGGCCCAGUCUGCUACGGGAGGCAGCAGUGGGGAAUCUUGCGCAAUGGGCGAAAGCCUGACGCAGCCAUGCCGCGUGGAUGAUGAAGGUCUUAGGAUUGUAAAAUCCUUUCACCGGGGACGAUAAUGACGGUACCCGGAGAAGAAGCCCCGGCUAACUUCGUGCCAGCAGCCGCCGUAA
rnacentral:rRNA from 1 species